GUUCCAUCAAAGUGAUAAACUUCAACCCCUCCAGGCCCCGGGAGUGGCUGGGUAUAAUACUGUAAAAGAGACAUAGGAAGUAAACAGGAAGUUCUCUUCAAACUUCGGACUCUGAGCAGUGGCUGGGCUUCCAGAGUCAAGCUCUAGCAGCGCACUCCCCACCAACAAUCUCUAGAGACAGAAUCUCACUCUAUUGCUCCAGUUGAAGUGCAGUGGCUGCUUACAGGGGCGAUCACAGUGCACCGCAGCCUCGAACUCAUG
rnacentral:sRNA from 1 species